GCCGGGCGUGGUGGCUCAUGCCUGUAAUCCCAGCAUUUUGGGAGGCCGAGGCGGGUGGAUCACCUGAGGCCAGGAGUUCAAGACCAGCCUGGCCAACAUGGUGAAACCCCAUCUCUA
rnacentral:SRP_RNA from 1 species